rnacentral:lncRNA from 1 species
CUGAGGUACUGACAGGUGCCGUUUCACUGGAAAGCAGCGAGCUAGCCAUCCACUUUUUGCUCAGUUUAAGACUGAAUUUGAAUCUGGUUCCUGGAAGUCCUACAGUGCCUCUCCCUGUGUCUGUGCAGCCAGGUGACAGUGCUCCUGUUUGGGAUCACCACCCUGACCCUCCAGUUCUACGUGCUGCUGAGGCCCAGAUCCUCCCGGUUCUGCAGUCAGCCCCUCCUGGCCAACCUGGUGGCUAGCAUGGUCUUGACCCUGCUCACACUCGGGCUCUUCGAGCUGCUCACUCAGACGGAGCUGACCCCGUUGGCUCUAAGGACAGUGCUGGCGGUACUUGGCGUGGCGUCCUUCGGUGAAGGAGUCUGCUCUGGGCUGUUAACACUCCUGGCAUCAGAUUGCGAGAAAACCACCCCUGAACUUUACUACUUAUCCGUGGUGCUGUCAGUGGGCAGUCUGGUAUCCACGGUGCUUUUCUCUAGCAUGGGGCUCAUCUGGCUGUCCAAAGUGACCUGCCCAAGACCAGAGGCUAAGCCAACAGUCUGAAGCUAGCCCGUAGUCCUGCUGGUUUCCUCCCUCAUUUACACGCCUGGGCUGACUGAGUCCACCCCAGCACUACCACUGUGCACUGUCAAGAUUCUCACAAGAUGAUCUCCUAGCUGCCAUUCCUACAUGAAAUGUCUGCUGCACAUCACAGCCAUGCAGGAAACAUGCCAAGACCAGCCAUCAUAGAAGUUGCU